ensembl:lncRNA
UUUUUUUUUCUUAGAGCGUGGGUCUCACUCUGUCACCCAGCUGGAAUGUAGUGGCACAAUCAUAGCUCACUGCAGCCUCAACCUCCUGGGUCAAGCGAUCCUCCCACUUCAUCCUCUCCAGUAGCCAGGACUACAGGCACACAUCACAAUGCUCAGCUAAUUUUUAAAAUUUUUUGUAGAGAUAGGGUCUCAUUAUGUUGACCAGGCUGGUCUCAAACUCUUGGACUCAAGUGAUCUUCCUGCCUUGGCCCCAGGAGGUACUCUUCUAUAGCAAUUUAAGAUGCUGCCAUAAGACCCUGUUUUUGUCCUCCCCAACACAGGUUUGUAGAAAUGGCAGAGCUCCCUCAAGGGUCUCCAGCAGUGAACAGGGCCCUUGAUAUAUCCACACAUGCACAGGAGUCUAACCUGAUUUUCCCAGUGGUUCAGCUCAUUAGGAAUAGACAGACACCUAUUUCUUGACCGCAUGUGUAUUCCUAUCUACUUCACGAACCCCUAGCUGUGAUGAUACUUAAACUUCAAUAAUAGUUCUCACAAAGCCCUAAGAUCCUGUUCUUUUCUGGCCAACCCCAUACGCCUUUUGCUUUCUGCAUUUGGGGAGUAAUUCUAGCCUUGGGAGAGGAACAACAUCGUAGGAAACCUUUCUAUGCACUGCAUCACUGCCAGGGGUUGAAUAAGCAUCAGGUAUGACCUGGCUCACUGGGACACAUGCUUCGGACCCUCCCUCCAUGGUGGCCACACAGUUCCUGGUCUCCAAGGUGAAACAACCAGCUGUGUUUUGGAGCCUGCUGUUUUCCAACCAAACACAAGUUGAUGUAGAGAAGACAGUUUAAUUUUCAAUAACAUUAUCUCAUUCAUGACUGCAAAACUUCCAAACAGCCCCAUGAGUUUCCUCCUCCACCGAAUAAUAACUGUAGCCUUCUUUCCUUCCUAGACAGAUUUUAUCCAAGCAGAUGCUCUCUGCAGUAGUUAAAUAUUAUAUUAGUUCCCUUUUGCAGAAUUGAGAGAGCUGCCGUCUUGCCCCAAGGCAGAGCUCCCUAAACUUCCCUUGACAAAGAAAUCAUGUGGGCCACUUUUUUAAAGGACAAAAUGUGAGCUCCCAAUUCAGAUCAACAGAAUCAAAUAUCCAAGGGAAGGACCUCAGGUGAUUUAUCAUUAAGAAAUCUUAGGAAACCCUACCUCAGGUUAACCCUAAAUGCUUCUAGGAGACCAGAGGACUUUCUCCCCAUGAAAAUCCCUCUCCCUGCUACAGGACAAGGCUUGUAAUCUCCUACUUCACUGCCAAACAGAUGGGAAAGCAAGCAGGUGACCCCUGAGGUAUCUUACUGGAUGUGCCUUAGAGCAGCAAGGCUGGAGUGGGGUUGCUAUACGAACAGGCUGCCUUUUCCCACUGAGCUAGAUCAGAGAUCCAGGAAAGCCAGAUUUUCUCUUUAACUAUAAAUUUCUGGUAAGUUAGCCUGACAUUAUUUUCAGGUUCUUAAGUCCUAAGUUAACAGUCAAAACAAUCCCUGACAUUUAGAAAAAAACUAGGAUCUCAAAAAUGUCUUCUAAAUCACUCAAUUUAUGUUUCCCAUUUGCCUUUAGCUAUAUCCACCGAGAAUAACUGGGAAGCCUGAGAGAGUAGAGGAAACAGAUCACCCUCUUUUAGACAGCUCAUGAAUGCAAACUGGAACUGCUUUCAAAGCAGAAAGAUCAGAAAGUUCUCCAAUUACAUUUUCAAGGUCACUUUGACUCAGCUGCUUCUUCCAAAAGCCCCACCUCUGUCUAGACGGGUAAAUAGCAAUUUUUUUUUUUAAAGCUAACCAACUGAAUUCAACAGCAUAUUAAAAGGACUAAAUGCCAUGACCAAGUGGAAGGCAAGGCUGGUUCAACAUACAAAAAUCAAUCUAUGUAAUGCAGUAUAUUCACAGAACGAAAGGGGAAAAACCACACAUGAUCAUCUCAAUUGAUGAGUGAAGGGGAAACAUUUACUGAAUACUUACUAUGUACCAGGCGUAAUUCUAUACAUUUAAUAUAAGUGACAUAAUUUCAUUCUUUUAACAACCAGGUUACAGUCAAGAAAACUACGCCGAUUGUUAAGCUAUGGUGACUCAGCUCCAAACCCACCUUUUUAAACUUCUCUUUGUCUCAGACUCUGCAAAGCACACUUUUCCUUUUCCAGGCUGCUCCAGUUAGGCUCUGCCAAUAGGGGUUGCUACAGGGAGAUUUCAAGGUGGCAGGAAGGAGAAGGCACUUAGUAGUUUCUAUUUUGCUUGCUGUUACUGUCAGUGUCAUUCCAACAACAGUUCUUCAUCCUGGCAGUAACAGUUCCAGUUUCCAGAAACCUCCUCCUGCC